rnacentral:rRNA from 1 species
UUACUGCGAAGGGGGGACGGAGAAGGCUAUGUUGGCCGGGCGACGGUUGUCCCGGUUUAAGCGUGUAGGCUGGUUUUCCAGGCAAAUCCGGAAAAUCAAGGCUGAGGCGUGAUGACGAGGCACUACGGUGCUGAAGCAACAAAUGCCCUGCUUCCAGGAAAAGCCUCUAAGCAUCAGGUAACAUCAAAUCGUACCCCAAACCGACACAGGUGGUCAGGUAGAGAAUACCAAGGCGCUUGAGAGAACUCGGGUGAAGGAACUAGGCAAAAUGGUGCCGUAACUUCGGGAGAAGGCACGCUGAUAUGUAGGUGAAGUCCCUUGCGGAUGGAGCUGAAAUCAGUCGAAGAUACCAGCUGGCUGCAACUGUUUAUUAAAAACACAGCACUGUGCAAACACGAAAGUGGACGUAUACGGUGUGACGCCUGCCCGGUGCCGGAAGGUUAAUUGAUGGGGUCAGCGCAAGCGAAGCUCUUGAUCGAAGCCCCGGUAAACGGCGGCCGUAACUAUAACGGUCCUAAGGUAGCGAAAUUCCUUGUCGGGUAAGUUCCGACCUGCACGAAUGGCGUAAUGAUGGCCAGGCUGUCUCCACCCGAGACUCAGUGAAAUUGAACUCGCUGUGAAGAUGCAGUGUACCCGCGGCAAGACGGAAAGACCCCGUGAACCUUUACUAUAGCUUGACACUGAACAUUGAGCCUUGAUGUGUAGGAUAGGUGGGAGGCUUUGAAGUGUGGACGCCAGUCUGCAUGGAGCCGGCCUUGAAAUACCACCCUUUAAUGUUUGAUGUUCUAACGUGGACCCGUGAUCCGGGUUGCGGACAGUGUCUGGUGGGUAGUUUGACUGGGGCGGUCUCCUCCUAAAGAGUAACGGAGGAGCACGAAGGUUGGCUAAUCCUGGUCGGACAUCAGGAGGUUAGUGCAAUGGCAUAAGCCAGCUUGACUGCGAGCGUGACGGCGCGAGCAGGUGCGAAAGCAGGUCAUAGUGAUCCGGUGGUUCUGAAUGGAAGGGCCAUCGCUCAACGGAUAAAAGGUACUCCGGGGAUAACAGGCUGAUACCGCCCAAGAGUUCAUAUCGACGGCGGUGUUUGGCACCUCGAUGUCGGCUCAUCACAUCCUGGGGCUGAAGUAGGUCCCAAGGGUAUGGCUGUUCGCCAUUUAAAGUGGUACGCGAGCUGGGUUUAGAACGUCGUGAGACAGUUCGGUCCCUAUCUGCCGUGGGCGCUGGAGAACUGAGGGGGGCUGCUCCUAGUACGAGAGGACCGGAGUGGACGCAUCACUGGUGUUCGGGUUGUCAUGCCAAUGGCACUGCCCGGUAGCUAAAUGCGGAAGAGAUAAGUGCUGAAAGCAUCUAAGCACGAAACUUGCCCCGAGAUGAGUUCUCCCUGACCCUUUAAGGGUCCUGAAGGAACGUUGAAGACGACGACGUUGAUAGGCCGGGUGUGUAAGCGCAGCGAUGCGUUGAGCUAACCGGUACUAAUGAACCGUGAGGCUUAACCUUACAACGCCGAAG